GCCCAUUUCUAUGCCAGGCAACCACUGCAGAAGCACAGAGCACAGGGCCCUGCUUGAUUAGCACUUCUGCUGUUUGGAGAGUCCUGGAGUGUUUUGUUCAAGUCAUUUAAAGUUUCUCUGAAAUGGAAAUGCAGAUGGGAAACCAAGCAGCUGGGGCUUACUGAGGAGUCAGGGAGUCUGUUGCAGCAGAGCCCUGCAAAGCUGGCAGCUGCCAGAAGGAUUUGUUCCAUCCCUGAAUACCUGCACCGCUGCUUCCCCCCGUGCUGCUGUCAGGAGAGGAACAAACAGGUUCACACCUGCUGCAUAGCUGGCCAUGGAGGAAUGCAUGUGCAAAUCUGGCAGGUUAAAUGCUUGAAGGAAUUGCAGAGUCAGGCUCCUGGAAAAUGAGGGCACACACCAAAAAAUCAGCACCUCAGCACACGAGCAGGUCGGGAAGAUGUGUGAACUUGCAGCAGCCUGCACCUGAAAUAGGAGCCUUUAUCCACCAGAGCUUUGUGAGCUCGUAAAAACUCCCCCUAGAACAAGCUGAUUCAUGGGGUGAGGGCAGGAGCUGCCUCUGCCACAGCUCCAGGGCAGCCUGGGCACGGGGUGCUGGCAGUGCCAUGGCUCAGGGCACCCCUCUCCUGUCCCUGUGCCCAGGGUGAUGCCUUCGGGAUGGCAAAGCCUUUUGGAAGGCAAGGCCGUGCAGACAAGGACCCUUCACUCAAGGAGCUGACCUGCCUCAGAAGAAUAAUCCAUUGCUUGGAGCUGCAUUCCCUCUCCUGAGACUGUUUAAGGGUCUCCUGACUGUGUUAACAUCCAAGAAUUCUGAAUCAAACGUGAACUGUGGCCACAUCCACAAGGCUGAAGAGCUCAUGGGCUUGGCAGGGCUGGAGCUGCCAGCUGGGACCUCACAUGACACAGGGACACGUGCAGUCCUCACCCUGACUUGUUUAUGGCACUGCUGUGUGUUUUCAGUGCAAAGGAUGUUAGUGGCAAGCUGGUAGGCUCAGAUAAGCUGCCAGCCACCUUUCCUGGCCAGUCAAGGAAGGUCCUUUGGAAAGGUGUCGCUAAUGUUCAACCACCAAGUGUUUUCAAUAUAAUAUAAAGAUAGAUUUCCAGAUAAUAAAAGUAGGUUGAGUGAUAAAGCAUA